rnacentral:rRNA from 1 species
UACGUAGGUGGCGAGCGUUAUCCGGAAUUAUUGGGCGUAAAGAGCGCGCAGGUGGUUGAUUAAGUCUGAUGUGAAAGCCCACGGCUUAACCGUGGAGGGUCAUUGGAAACUGGUCGACUUGAGUGCAGAAGAGGGAAGUGGAAUUCCAUGUGUAGCGGUGAAAUGCGUAGAGAUAUGGAGGAACACCAGUGGCGAAGGCGGCUUCCUGGUCUGUAACUGACACUGAGGCGCGAAAGCGUGGGGAGCAAACAGGAUUAGAUA